rnacentral:rRNA from 1 species
UAGGGAAUCUUCGGCAAUGGACGAAAGUCUGACCGAGCAACGCCGCGUGAGUGAAGAAGGUUUUCGGAUCGUAAAACUCUGUUGUUAGAGAAGAACAAGGACGUUAGUAACUGAACGUCCCCUGACGGUAUCUAACCAGAAAGCCACGGCUAACUACGUGCCAGCAGCCGCGGUAAUACGUAGGUGGCAAGCGUUGUCCGGAUUUAUUGGGCGUAAAGCGAGCGCAGGCGGUUUCUUAAGUCUGAUGUGAAAGCCCCCGGCUCAACCGGGGAGGGUCAUUGGAAACUGGGAGACUUGAGUGCAGAAGAGGAGAGUGGAAUUCCAUGUGUAGCGGUGAAAUGCGUAGAUAUAUGGAGGAACACCAGUGGCGAAGGCGGCUCUCUGGUCUGUAACUGACGCUGAGGCUCGAAAGCGUGGGGCGCAAACAGG